CCCUUAGAUGUCCUGGGCCGCACGCGCGCUACACUGAGUGUCUGAGAUACGAGUCUGCCUGGUCCGGCAAGGUCUAGGUAAUCGCUAAAAGACAAAUCAUGCUUGGAAUAGAUUAUUGCAAAUAUUAAUCUUGAACGAGGAAUUCCUAGUAAGCGCAAGUCAACAGCUUGCGUUGAUUACGUCCCUGCCCUUUGUACACACCGCCCGUCGCUACUACUGAUUGGAUGUUUAAGCGAGGUUCUCGAACUGCUAGCGACUUAGCUUCGGUGAGGUCGCAGUGUGGGAAGUGAACCUAGCUUUGGUGUCUAGAGGAAGUAAAAGUCGUAACA
rnacentral:rRNA from 1 species